rnacentral:rRNA from 1 species
GACGAAGGGGGCUAGUGUUGUUCGGAUUUACUGGGCGUAAAGCGCACGUAGGCGGAUUGUUAAGUCAGGGGUGAAAUCCUGGAGCUCAACUCCAGAACUGCCUUUGAUACUGGCAAUCUCGAGUCCGGAAGAGGUAAGUGGAACUCCUAGUGUAGAGGUGGAAUUCGUAGAUAUUAGGAAGAACACCAGUGGCGAAGGCGGCUUGCCAGAACGCGCUCGACGGUGAGGGAUGAAAGCUGGGGGAGCAAACCGGG